rnacentral:rRNA from 1 species
AUGCGAACCUCGCUUCAGGUUAUGGAAGAAGUUGUUCUGCCUUGUCCCCGCACCCAGGGAGAAUCCCUAUGUCAAGUGGGCGGGGCCGAAGUAAGGCGCAUUGCCGAGACCGGAUAUCUAUCCGGCACUCCCAAGAAGGCAUCAGAGAACUGGCCUUUAGAGUGGUUUUACAUUGAUGACGUUCCCCUUCGGGAUCCAGUCCGGACGGGUCUCCCGAAGUUCAGUAACGCCCCGCCGAGGGCACGUCUAAGCUGGCGCCCCCGGGGCCCCCAAGAGGAGGAUACCAAGGAAAUACAUUUCCUGAUGAGCAGGAUAAAGUUACUGACCAAAUCCGGACUGACAACAGUCGAGGUCAUGGCAAUAUGCAUAAUGCGGGGAGUGCAACCGCUUCAAUAUCGGGGGAAGCCCAUGUGGCACUUCAACAGGGAAGACGACGCCACUCGCUGCGGCUGUAAGGGUCCGGACUCCGCCAUUGCUCUGGCAAGGAUAUUGUCCGGUUUAUACAAAGGGGAAGAGGAAGAAUUCCUUCGCAUUAAACCGCGGGAUGGAUUCUCCAUGUACAACCCCUCAGAGUGGGUAAGUCGUCAUUCCUUUCCCUGCUUCACUUACUUUAGCAUUCUCUGCUAA